rnacentral:rRNA from 1 species
UAUAGAGUUCGUGUCAAUGCCUGAGCUUGUCUGAUUUCAGAAGCUAAGCGAGGAUGGACUUGGUUAGUACUUGGAUGGGAGACUGCAGGGAAUAUCAGGUGCUACAG